GUGGGGUAGCUUUGGCUUCAGGUCUCAAGUGCACAUGAAACAUUUCCCCGGAGGUAUUUUAAUUGGGUCUAUACAGGAAAUACAUUUUUGUUUCUGUGAAAUGUCCCAAUGACCCAGCCAUGCCAGAGAUAACAGCAGUUCUUUGGCAGCGAUGCAUUUCACUUUUAUGGAUCCAGUUAGCUCGCCCUUUGAUUUGUUUGAUUAUUGGAGAGUGUUUUUGUGAAAGCAUCUUGUUUUCAGAAGUGCUCUGAUAUCACUGGUUUGGUCGGACCAUGUGCAGGUCUGUGCUUGGCCCAGCAUGCUGCCUGGGAAGAGGGAGCCACUGGAGCUGGUGGGAGCUGUGGCCUGAGACUGGCAGUGCCCCAGGGGAGCAGAAAGGCUGAGAGACCUGGUGAACCACUAGCACACCUUGUGUGGCACGGAUGAGAUAGGGUGGGGUGAGAGGUACAGGACAUUCAGGCUGCCAUUUUAGCCACUGGAACCCAGAGUUCAAUCUCCUUUUGGUCCCCUUUUAGGGGUGUUACCCAACCAUUGGCAUGCGUGAGCACAGCUGGGCAGCAGAAACAAGAUUGACCCCCACACUGCUUUAGGGUCAACAAAAGCCAGUGCCCACUCACAGACAUUGAGCAGUCUGUGUUGUUUUCUCCUCGGUCCCCCUUGCUCAGAGGACCUCUGCAGCAAUAGCAGAACCCAUGAAAAACCCAAUACAACCAUCCUGCAAUAGACACACUCACUUUAUACAGCGGGGACCGAUGGCAUGCUUAUAUAAGUACUCUGGAGCACAGCCCCAGGGCUUGAGAAAUCUAAUUUUUGUCUGCUGGUCACAAGACCCUUUCCCAUUCGGCAGGAGCUGAGGUCCAACUUCUGCAACAAACUUCUCAUAAGCCCACACAGAACUCGCCGCAUGAUCCUCGCCUGCGGUAACUCUGCGUCCCCGGACUCGGAGUGACUCUUCAUUGAAUCCAGCUGUGGCUGGAAUUCGGCUGGAAAUGGUGGUGCUCAGAUACCACAGUGAUGAGUGUGGUGUAACAAUGAGAUUUUGAUUUUUGAGUGAAAACUUCAGUAUAUUUGGACAGCAAGCUGUUCCAAUUCUGAUAAGCCACUUCCAAGAGCCAUGUAGCAUCUCUCCGAGAUACUGGGAGUCAAGGUCUGAGGGAGCCGUGUUUGAAACAGUGUGAUUGCAAUUUAUUAAUGAACAGCCAGCCAGCACGACAGGUACACAACAGCAGCUAGCAUGCACUCCUUGCACAAGCAAUGGGGAGAUGAAUUUCCACGUACAACUUUGUGCAACUCGGACCACCGUGAUUACUUUGUUUCUGGCAUUAAUCACGGCUCUAAAUAUGGCAGACACGACUUUGGAUGGGAUAUAGCAGUUGCGGUCAGUGUGUGAUAGCCAGCUGUUGGCCUCGUUGUCAACCAAGCAAAGCAAAGCAAGUCCAGGUCAAAUGGUCUUGGCUUGCAAAGAUCACUUAAGUGCUGCGGGAAGCAUUGUUAGCAUUGGGUGGCUGGAGGCAUCGGCUGCUUGUGGUCCCUAAAGUCCCUUUUGUACUUGUUAUAAAGAAAUGGGAGAAGCCAAGAGAAGAGAUCCUGCCCUCCUUGUCCUCUUGCAGCUGCAGGACUGGUGGAGGAGGUGGAGCACCCAAUGCAUGCUCUUGCAGCGCCUGUGAUGCCGGCUCAAUGGAUGUCUUCAGAGCUGUCUGCGAAGUCUUGAUACGAACAAGCUGGCAGCCUAAGUCUGGAGCCUGUCGUCUUCCUCCCGAGGAGCAGUGCUGCACUCAGCAGUAGCCUUUGCUGGAAUAGCUGGAGGUUAUUUCAGGGAAAUAAAUGCACUGUUUGUGGCAGAACGGAGGUCUCAGAGGUUCAGAGCUGUCUGCCUAAAUGCACAGCCUUGUCACUAAAGUAUUUGAGUACCUUGGAGACUAUGAAAUUAUCCUCACAGACAGACAUCUUGGGAAGGAAAUACAGAUAAUUAACAUUUAUUGAG